AUUUCUCAUCGGAAACCAUGGAGGCCAGAUGCAGUAGUAUUGCAGGAAAAUGGGGCAUAAGAGGAUGGUCAGGUCUCAGCAUACAAGACAGUAUCAGGAGUUAAUGGUCCACUAGUGAUCUUAGAUCAUGUUAAGUUUCCCAGAUAUGCUGAGAUUGUGCACUUAACACUACCUGAUGGCACGAAGAGGAGUGGG